CAGUCGCCGCGGUAAUUCGGAGGGUGCAAGCGUUAAUCGGAAUUACUGGGCGUAAAGCGUGCGUAGGCGGUUCGUUAAGUCUGUUGUGAAAGCCCCGGGCUCAACCUGGGAAUGGCAAUGGAUACUGGCUCGCUAGAGUGUGUCAGAGGAUGGUGGAAUUCCCGGUGUAGCGGUGAAAUGCGUAGAGAUCGGGAGGAACAUCAGUGGCGAAGGCGGCCAUCUGGGACAACACUGACGCUGAGGCACGAAAGCGUGGGGAGCAAACAGGAUUAGAUACCCCUGUAGUCCCUGUCUCUUAUAC
rnacentral:rRNA from 1 species